AAACCAGCACCUCAAGUGGUCAGGAGGAUUAUUGGGCCUAAAGCAUCCGUAGCCUGUUCUGUAAGUUUUCGGUUAAAUCCAUUAGCUCAACUAGUGGGCUGCCGAAAAUACUGUAGAACUAGGGAGUGGGAGAGGUAGACGGUAUUCGGUAGGAAGGGGUAAAAUCCUUUGAUCUAUUGAGGACCACCUGUGGCGAAGGCGGUCUACCAGAACACGUUCGACGGUGAGGGAUGAAAGCUGGGGGAGCAAACCGGAUUAGAAACCCGAGUAGUCC
rnacentral:rRNA from 1 species